rnacentral:tRNA from 1 species
GGGCCGGUGGUCUAGCUUGGUUAAGAUACCGCCUUGACGUGGCGGGGUUCGUUGGUUCGAAUCCGACUCGGCCCA